UGAAUACGAGAUGCUACGGCAUUGAAGCAGUGUAUGUCAGACUUCCAAGAAAAGCUCGCAAUGUCAUAAACAAAGAAUGCCUGUACCAUAACCGACACAGGUGGGUAGGUAGAGUAUACUAAGGGGCGCGAGAUAACUCUCUCUAAGGAACUCGGCAAAAUGACUCCGUAACUUCGGGAGAAGGAGUGCCUUAUUUAUUAAGGUUGCAAUAACAAGAUCCAAGCAACUGUUUACCAAAAACACAGGUCUCCGCUAAGUCGUAAGACGAUGUAUGGGGGCUGACGCCUGCCCAGUGCCAGAAGGUUAAAGAAGUUGGUUAGCAUUGCGAAGCUGAUGACUGAAGCCCUGGUGAACGGCGGCCGUAACGAUAACGGUCCUAAGGUAGCGAAAUUCCUUGUCGGGUAAGUUCCGACCCGCACGAAAGGCGUAAUGAUUUGGAUACUGUCUCGGAGAGGGGCUCGGUGAAAUAGACUUGUCUGCGAAGAUGCGGACUACCUGCACCAGGACAGAAAGACCCUAUGAAGCUUUACUGUAACUUGAGAUUGAAAUUGGACUUUAUUUGCGCAGUAUAGGUGGGAGACGUUGAGAAUAUUCUUGCGGGAAUAUUGGAGUCAUCAGUGAGAUACCACUCUUGUAAUGUUAGAUUUCUAACUUUGUAUCAUUAUCUGGUCAAAGAACAGUCUCAGGCGGGCAGUUUGACUGGGGCGGUCGCCUCCCAAACGGUAACGGAGGCGCACAAAGGUUUCCUCUGAACGUGUAGAAAUCGUAUCUAGAGUGUAAAGGCAUAAGGAAGCUUGACUGUGAGACCUACAAGUCGAGCAGGGACGAAAGUCGGUCUUAGUGAUCUGACGGUGCUGAGUGGAAAGGCCGUCACUCAACGGAUAAAAGUUACUCUAGGAUAACAGGCUGAUCUCCCCCAAGAGUUCACAUCGACGGGGAGGUUUGGCACCUCGAUGUCGGCUCAUCGCAUCCUGGGGCGGUAGUACGUCCCAAGGGUUGGGCUGUUCGCCCAUGAAAGCGGUACGCGAGCUGGGUUCAGAACGUCGUGAGACAGUUCGGUCCAUAUCCGGUGUAGGCGUUAGAAUAUUGAGAGGAGACUACUUUAGUACGAGAGGACCGAGAAGGACAUACCUCUGGUGUACCAGUUAUCGUGCCAACGGUAAACGCUGGGUAGCUAUGUAUGGAGAGGAUAACCGCUGAAAGCAUCUAAGUGGGAAGCCCACCUCAAGAUAAGUAUUCUC
rnacentral:rRNA from 1 species